AAAAGAUAUACUACUACUUGUUGUACCCAAUUUAAAUAUAUUAGUUGUGUAGCAAAUAUAAUACUAAUUAACGCAAAUUGUUAAUGUAGAUUUUUUAGACACAAAAAUAAUUUUGACAUACGAUUUCAUAGCAAUACACUUAUUUUAAUGACAAUAACGAACUAUAAAAUAGAAACUACAAUAUGAGGUGCACUGUUCAAUAUAAAUUUGACACUUGUUCGCCUACAUGAUCAUUAUUGCGGUAAAAUAAAUUAUCUUUUCAAAAAGUGACUUUGAUUGAUUGAAUCAUGUGCAUAAGGGACUGAAAAUGACACUUUUCUAUCAAUUCCACUCGGACUUCUACUACGAUAUGGACACUCUAUGCGUUUAUCUUGUUACUUUUCGCCAUCCAAUCAGGAUAGUCAAACUAUGAAAGUAUAACUAGUGUUGAUUUUUGGAUGAACGAAAAAAUCAUGGCUUCGUAAAAAUAUCUAAUUUGAACGAUGUAUCGUUUUGCUAUGUUCUAGUAUUACUAUUGUUUUUGUUAUUUUUCUCGAGGUCACAAUGUGUUCAUCAAUCAUAUUGAAUUCUUAUAUAACUGCCAAUUUAAAACAUGCUUAGUCUGUGCAGAAAAUAAGCAUAUAGUGUUGUGAAUAUAUGCUUUGUCGGACAGUUGAACCGUCUCAGAAACCCUACAGAGAAAUAACAACCAACUGCUCGAGAGGAAAUAACGAAUAUUGCGGUUAUUUCUAUGGUUGUGUACGUAACGGGUACAAGUGGCACGCUGUUCGUUUAAGAUACUGAGAAGUGGGAUUCGUUUAUGUUAUGUACACAAUAAAGUAUAUAACACAAAUACAUACAUAUAUUAUCCUGAUGUCACCGACAUUGAUCCCGCCGAAAAAUAGCAGUGGAAACUUUGGAUAGUGUAAUACUAAUUACUAAAGAUCAUACAUAAGGGGAAAAAAUGUUUGUCGCCUUUUUUUAUGCGAAUCGAUUCACAAUAAAAAUAUAAAAGCAAAAUGUCAAAAUUGUUUUAAAUUAGUCAGUGGAACGACAACUUCAAAUGACAACUUUUUAAGUAACCAAAAGAGUGAUUAAUAAAGGAUAAAGCACUCAUUUUCUCAGAAACUACCAAAAAUGUUUCAUUUUCUUAAAGGAAAAUAUUAUUUAAUUCAAAAACUCAACAAUAAUAUGUCAUUAAAUACAUUUUUUUUCAUUCCUUCAGAGAUAAAAAAAACUUUCGUUAAUUAUAAGAAUAUAUAUAUCUAGAAUAGACUUAAUUAUUAAUGAUAAGAUUUCUGUAUAGUGGAUUAUAUCGAAUUGUACCAGAAACAAAUAGUAUGCUAAAUGGUAAAUUAUCAAUAGAUAAAAAUAGAGUCAAAAGUUACUAAACAUGCAAAAACAGAAAAAUGAUUCAUCAGAUAAAAUAAUUAUAAGAUCAAUUUUUUUCCUAUUGUAUCAUUAAACUAAAUAUAGAGCUUUCCAAUUCAGAAAUUUAAAGUUUAAGUUGCUUAUCUAUGAAAUGAUUAAAAAAAUAUCUUUAUCUACAUAUUAUUAUAAAGAUUUUUACAUUCGUAAAGAAAAAAUUACCUGAUUCAAAAAUUUCUAUAAUAAUACGAAUUUAAAAUUUGUUUUUUAUCUCUUCAAGGAUAAAUAUCAAAACUUUAAUUUUCUUUAACAAGAACAAAUAUAGCUGUAUGACUUAACUCAGAUGAUAACUCGCAGAGUUAGUAAUCUUUAUUAGAUUAGUUAGAUCUUUUGCCGUUCGAGUGUUUAGCAGCUAUAUUCUAUUUAGACGGUUUAUUUCUUUCUCUCAUAAAGUAUAGGUUAUGGCGAUUGAUUAUUAACUACAGAGUUUAUUCGUCUUUUAGUAAAAGACUAAAGUAAAACUUAAUGAUUUGUAUUUAAACUUUAAUUCAAUUCUUACUUUCAUCGUUAGCGGUUCUGAUUCUUUAUGUAUUUAAUUUCAUCAUAAAUAAAUGUACUAUUAUUAUUUACUCUAGAAUAUUAUGAGACUAUACUUAAUGGUUUGAAUACAACUGAUAUUAUCGUGUUUGAUGAGAUAAAUUGCAUGCAAUGUUUUACUAAACUGCAUAUCAUUAAUUACUUCAUAUUAAUUAUCUCAAUGUUUCCAA